UACAGAGGUGGCAAGCGUUGUUCGGAAUUACUGGGCGUAAAGCGCGCGCAGGCGGUCCUUUAAGUCUGAUGUGAAAGCCCACGGCUCAACCGUGGAGGGUCAUUGGAAACUGGGGGACUUGAGUGCAGAAGAGGAGAGCGGAAUUCCACGUGUAGCGGUGAAAUGCGUAGAGAUGUGGAGGAACACCAGUGGCGAAGGCGGCUCUCUGGUCUGUAACUGACGCUGAGGCGCGAAAGCGUGGGGAGCGAACAGG
rnacentral:rRNA from 1 species